GACGAACGCUGGCGGCGUGCUUAACACAUGCAAGUCGAACGGAAAGGCCCAGCUUGCUGGGUACUCGAGUGGCGAACGGGUGAGUAACACGUGGGUGAUCUGCCCUGCACUUUGGGAUAAGCCUGGGAAACUGGGUCUAAUACCGGAUAUGACCAACUGUCGCAUGGUGGUUGGUGGAAAGCUUUUGCGGUGUGGGAUGGGCCCGCGGCCUAUCAGCUUGUUGGUGGGGUAAUGGCCUACCAAGGCGACGACGGGUAGCCGACCUGAGAGGGUGAUCGGCCACACUGGGACUGAGAAACGGCCCAGACUCCUACGGGAGGCAGCAGUGGGGAAUAUUGCACAAUGGGCGCAAGCCUGAUGCAGCGACGCCGCGUGAGGGAUGACGGCCUUCGGGUUGUAAACCUCUUUCACCAGGGACGAAGCGUGAGUGACGGUACCUGGAGAAGAAGCACCGGCCAACUACGUGCCAGCCGCCGCCGUAAUAC
rnacentral:rRNA from 1 species